rnacentral:rRNA from 1 species
CUGCUUCUACUUUCUGUAUGGAGCUGGGAGCGUCUGCUUGUUGGACGCCCGAAGAGCGUCAGGUUUGAUCCUUGGUAUGCAGAUGAACAUGACGAAUUACGGCGCCCCACGUGGGCUUACAAGUGGGAUAUCGUUUCCGAGAUGACGAACGAUGUCAAUCUCAUGUACCAAAAGUACAUUGCCGAGUUGGACACGAUUACGCCUGAGCAGGUAAGGAGGUCAUUACUUUAG